rnacentral:antisense_RNA from 21 species
GAUGAAUAAACUUUGACGCGAAUUUUGCAUUUUGGUUUGCAAUGCGAAUUUUUGAAUGAAAUUUUGAUGAGAGUUUGAAAAAUCCGGACUUUAAAAGAAGCGAAAUGGUGGCCCCGAAUGGACUCGAACCAUCGACCACUACCA